rnacentral:lncRNA from 1 species
AGUUGAAAACCUGAAAAGGCAACUUAGGCAAAAAUGGGUAUCCCGAUGGAUUGAAAACCCGAAAGGGCGAUCCAGGCAAAAGUUAGGGAUUAAGCGAAUGACUGCGUAAAAGAUUGUACACCCGGUAAGUUGAAAACCUGAAAAGGCAACUUAGGCAAAAAUGGGUAUCCCGAUGGAUUGAAAACCCGAAAGGGCGAUCCAGGCAAAAGUUAGGGAUUAAGCGAAUGACUGCGUUUUGAGUAGUUCUGAAUCUCAUCCUGUGUCGAUAACUGGAAACUUUCAAA